rnacentral:rRNA from 1 species
GACGAACGCUGGCGGCGUGCCUAAUACACGCGAGUUGAGCGCUGAAGGUUGGUACUUGUACCAACUGGAUGAGCAGCGAACGGGUGAGUAACGCGUGGGGAAUCUGCCUUUGAGCGGGGGACAACAUUUGGAAACGAAUGCUAAUACCGCAUAAAAACUUUAAACACAAGUUUUAAGUUUGAAAGAUGCAAUUGCAUCACUCAAAGAUGAUCCCGCGUUGUAUUAGCUAGUUGGUGAGGUAAAGGCUCACCAAGGCGAUGAUACAUAGCCGACCUGAGAGGGUGAUCGGCCACAUUGGGACUGAGACACGGCCCAAACUCCUACGGGAGGCAGCAGUAGGGAAUCUUCGGCAAUGGACGAAAGUCUGACCGAGCAACGCCGCGUGAGUGAAGAAGGUUUUCGGAUCGUAAAACUCUGUUGGUAGAGAAGAACGUUGGUGAGAGUGGAAAGCUCAUCAAGUGACGGUAACUACCCAGAAAGGGACGGCUAACUACGUG